rnacentral:tRNA from 1 species
GCGUUGGUGGUUCAGUGGUAGAACAGUAGUCAACCAAGCAUAUGGUCCGGGGUUCGGUUCCCCGCCGAGGCA